AUUGAACGCUGGCGGCAUGCUUUACACAUGCAAGUCGAACGGCAGCGCGGGCUUCGGCCUGGCGGCGAGUGGCGAACGGGUGAGUAAUACAUCGGAACGUGCCCAGUAGUGGGGGAUAGCUCGGCGAAAGCCGGAUUAAUACCGCAUACGACCUGAGGGUGAAAGCGGGGGAUCUUCGGACCUCGCGCUAUUGGAGCGGCCGAUGGCAGAUUAGCUAGUUGGUGGGGUAAAGGCCUACCAAGGCGACGAUCUGUAGCUGGUCUGAGAGGACGACCAGCCACACUGGGACUGAGACACGGCCCAGACUCCUACGGGAGGCAGCAGUGGGGAAUUUUGGACAAUGGGCGAAAGCCUGAUCCAGCAAUGCCGCGUGUGUGAUGAAGGCCUUCGGGUUAUAAAGCACUUUUGGCGGGAACGAAAAGGACUGUGCCAAUACCACGGUUCGAUGACGGUACCCGCAGAAUAAGCACCGGCUAACUACGUG
rnacentral:rRNA from 1 species